AUUGAACGCUGGCGGCAGGCCUAACACAUGCAAGUCGAGCGGCAGCGGGAAAGUAGCUUGCUACUUUUGCCGGCGAGCGGCGGACGGGUGAGUAAUGCCUGGGAAAUUGCCCAGUCGAGGGGGAUAACAGUUGGAAACGACUGCUAAUACCGCAUACGCCCUACGGGGGAAAGCAGGGGACCUUCGGGCCUUGCGCGAUUGGAUAUGCCCAGGUGGGAUUAGCUAGUUGGUGAGGUAAUGGCUCACCAAGGCGACGAUCCCUAGCUGGUCUGAGAGGAUGAUCAGCCACACUGGAACUGAGACACGGUCCAGACUCCUACGGGAGGCAGCAGUGGGGAAUAUUGCACAAUGGGGGAAACUCUGAUGCAGCCAUGCCGCGUGUGUGAAGAAGGCCUUCGGGUUGUAAAGCACUUUCAGCGAGGAGGAAAGGUUGAUGCCUAAUACGUAUCAACUGUGACGUUACUCGCAGAAGAAGCACCGGCUAACUCCGUGCCAGCAGCCGCGGUAAAAC
rnacentral:rRNA from 1 species